AAUUGACGGGGGCCCGCACAAGCGGUGGAGCAUGUCGCUUCAAUUCGAUGCAACGCGAAGAACCUUAUCCAGGGUUUUGACAUCCUCUGACUACCAUGGAAACAUGGAUUUCCUGUUAAGGGACAGAGUGACAGGUGCUGCAUGGCUGUCGUCAGCUCGUGUCGUGAGAUGUCGGGUUAAGUCCCGCAACGAGCGCAACCCUUGUUCUUAGUUACCAGCGGGUAAUGCCGGGGACUCUAAGGAGACUGCCUGCGAUGAGCGGGAGGAAGGUGGGGAUGACGUCAAGUCCGCAUGGCCCUUAUGCCCUGGGCUGCACACGUGCUACAAUGGUCGGUACAACGGGCAGCGAAAUCGCGAGAUGGAGCAAAUCCCUAAAAGCCGGCCCCAGUUCGGAUUGGAGUCUGCAACUCGACUCCAUGAAUGCAGGAAUCGCUAGUAAUCGCGGAUCAGAAUGCCGCGGUGAAUACGUUCCCGGGCCUUGUACACACUGCCCGUCAAGCCACGAAAGCCGGUA
rnacentral:rRNA from 1 species